rnacentral:rRNA from 1 species
CUUGGUCAUUUAGAGGAAGUAAAAGUCGUAACAAGGUUUCCGUAGGUGAACCUGCGGAAGGAUCAUUAUCAUACAACAGAGGUGCAAGGGCUGUCGCUGACCUUUCAAAGGUCGUGCACGCCCGUCACACAUCCACUUCACCCCUAUGUGCAUCACCGCGUGGGGAUCCCUUGAAAGGGGGAGGCCCACGUUUUUCUUUUUUCCACACAAAACCUCAAAGUAGUAUAGAAUGUAUUUUCUUUAUUUGCGGUGAUACGCAAUCAAUACAACUUUCAACAACGGAUCUCUUGGCUCUCGCAUCGAUGAAGAACGCAGCGAAAUGCGAUACGUAAUGUGAAUUGCAGAAUUCAGUGAAUCAUCGAAUCUUUGAACGCACCUUGCGCCCCUUGGUAUUCCGAGGGGCACACCCGUUUGAGUGUCGUGAAAUCCUCAAAAAGCCCUUUCUUGAUCUUUUAAAGAAAAGGAUUUUUGGACUUGGAGGACCAAUGCUCGCUUUCAAUUAUUUGAAAGGGAGCUCCUCUUAAAUAAAUCAGUGGGGUUUGCUUUGCUGAUCCUUGACGUGAUAAAGCGAUUCUACGUUUUGGAUAUAGCAUCGUGCUUUUAAACACCUGCUUCUAAUUGUCCUUAUGGACGACGAUGGUGUUCUGGUCACCACCACACCUGUGUCGGUGGGAGGCUAGACCCACAAGAGAAAACCUUGACCUCAAAUCGGGUGAGACUACCCGCUGAACUUAAGCAUAUCAAUAAGCGGAGGA